rnacentral:misc_RNA from 1 species
AAAUCAUCUAGUUUCUGAUUAAUUAUAAAGCUAACUUGCCGAUAGUGAAACGCAAAUACAACUUAGUGUAAUAGUUAUAUCGAGAGGAACGCAUCAUAACGUUUCUCGUAGGACGCCUGUAUCGCGGUGACAAACAAAUGGACCGACCAAAUCAAACAAGCCUGUCGUUAACCACUACGCUGUAAAUAUUUACCACGAGCGGAAGUUAAACAAGCCACAUGUAUAGAAAUACAAAUUGCUAUUAAUAUUCGCGCACGCUUUGGAACUUUUAUUUUAUUACAAACUAAAAUGGCCUUUUUUACGUUACGUUAGCGUUGUUUUUUUUUUCUUUUUUUUAUAUCACUUAGGUCGGCAAACAAGCGUACGGCUCACCUGAUGGUAAGCGAUUACCGUAGCUUAUAGACGCCUGCAACACCAG